rnacentral:rRNA from 1 species
GACGAACGCUGGCGGCGUGCUUAACACAUGCAAGUGGAGCGACGAACCAGGCUUCGGCCUGGGGCAAAGCCGCGAACGGGUGAGUAACACGUGGGUAACCUGCCCCAAUGACCGGGACAACUCGGGGAAACCCGAGCUAAUACCGGAUGUGCAUCCCUCACACCAGUGAGGAAUGAAAAGGAAGCUUCGGCCUCCGCAUUGGGAUGGGCCCGCGGCCCAUUAGCUUGUUGGUGAGGUAACGGCUCACCAAGGCCGCGAUGGGUAGCUGGUCUGAGAGGACGAUCAGCCACACUGGGACUGAGACACGGCCAGACUCCUACGGGAGGCAGCAGUGGGGAAUCUUGCGCAAUGCGCGAAAGCGUGACGCAGCAACGCCGCGUGGGGGAAGACGG